rnacentral:piRNA from 1 species
UAGUGCAAGGAAAAGCCUAGUUGGAAU